UUGGUUCCUGCCUUGUGAUUUGGGAUGUUAGCCGCCUUCCAGCCAGCGUUCGGUAUUAACUUGCUCAUUUCGCUUUGCUUCCCAGUUAUUCUUUCUCUUCACCUUGUAACAGGAUUUCUGCAGUUUUUUGUUCAUUAAUCUGCCAUUUUUCAGACGACCCUUUUUCAUACCCGGUCGAUAAUUCCAGGUACUUUGUUGAUGGAGGAAAGAAGAGAAUCUACUCGGGCACCUACUGAAUAGUUACUUGACUAUAUACAGCCUGCUAAAAUUUUGGCUAUGUUAGGGCCUCGGCCAUUAGAAGCUGGGGCAAGCUUUUCUGCCUACUUAACUCUGUUUGGUAAAUACAUUUCUUUUGACAGGUUAUGUCUAGAUUUGAGAACCUUCAGCAUGGUUCUCAUUUUUUGAGGUCUCAACAGGUUUCCCCAGACCAUAUAUAAACCAUGUAUAAGUCAU
ensembl:processed_transcript